UACAGAGGUCCCAAGCGUUGUUCGGAUUCAUUGGGCGUAAAGGGUGCGUAGGCGGCGGGGUAAGUCAGGUGUGAAAUCCCGGAGCUCAACUCCGGAACUGCACUUGAUACUGCCUUGCUCGAGGACUGGAGAGGAGACUGGAAUUCAUGGUGUAGCAGUGAAAUGCGUAGAGAUCAUGAGGAAGACCAGUGGCGAAGGCGGGUCUCUGGACAGUUCCUGACACUGAGGCACGAAGGCCAGGGGAGCAAACGGG
rnacentral:rRNA from 1 species